AUUUUAAAAGUACUCAGUGUGCCUUUUGCUAAUGACUCAUUGAGUCGUCAAGCAGGCACAGAGCACAGAGUGAAAACACCGCUUUUGGGUGAAGUGGCAACACGUGCUGUUGACUUCGAUCGCUGGUGUGACAAGG